UACGUAGGCAGCAAGCGUUGUUCGGAGUUACUGGGCGUAAAGGGUGUGUAGGCGGUUAUUUAAGUUUGGUGUGAAAUCUCCCGGCUCAACCGGGAGGGGUGCGCCGAAUACUGAAUGACUUGGAGUCCGGAAGAGGGAAAGUGGAAUUCCUGGUGGUAGCGGUGAAAUGCGCAGAUAUCAGGAAGAACACCGAUGGCGAAGGCAGCUCUCUGGGACGGUACUGACACUGAGGAGCGAAAGCAUGGGAUCAAAC
rnacentral:rRNA from 1 species